CAAAAUGAAAAAAAAAACGAAAAAA
rnacentral:sRNA from 1 species